rnacentral:tRNA from 1 species
UCCGCGGUAGCUCAACGGUAGAGCGAAUCCCUGUGAUUCCUUAGCAGCUCUCGAUAGAAAUGUCGAGAUGAAAAACUGGGAGAAUUGUCGUGAAGCCUUCUUCCAUAACAAUGGAAAUGGUAACCCGCAGCCGAGCCCUUUAUAUCAUAUAAUAUAUCGGGAAGGUUCAGAAACUAUGCACCCAGAUCCCCUACUUUAUAAAAGUGAGGAUAAGAUAUAGUUCCGCAUCCGAUGGAAACAUCGGGGAAUGAGUAAGGAUGAGGUUGAAGGUUCGAAUCCUUCCCGCGGAG